GACGAACGCUGGCGGCGUGCUUAACACAUGUAAGUCGAACGGAAAGGCCCUGCUUUUGUGGGGUGCUCGAGUGGCGAACGGGUGAGUAACACGUGAGUAACCUGCCCUUGACUUUGGGAUAACUUCAGGAAACUGGGGCUAAUACCGGAUAGGAGCUCCUGCUGCAUGGUGGGGGUUGGAAAGUUUCGGCGGUUGGGGAUGGACUCGCGGCUUAUCAGCUUGUUGGUGGGGUAGUGGCUUACCAAGGCUUUGACGGGUAGCCGGCCUGAGAGGGUGACCGGCCACAUUGGGACUGAGAUACGGCCCAGACUCCUACGGGAGGCAGCAGUGGGGAAUAUUGCACAAUGGGCGGAAGCCUGAUGCAGCAACGCCGCGUGCGGGAUGACGGCCUUCGGGUUGUAAACCGCUUUCGCCUGUGACGAAGCGUGAGUGACGGCAAUGGGUAAAGAAGCACCGGCUAACUACGUG
rnacentral:rRNA from 1 species